AGACGUCUACAUUAGAUACCCGGGUAGUCCCAGCCGUAAACUAUGCGCGUUAGGUGUAUCGGUGACCACGAGCCACCGAGGUGCCGAAGGGAAACCGUGAAACGUGCCGCCUGGGAAGUACGGUCGCAAGGCUGAAACUUAAAGGAAUUGGCGGGGAGCACCACAACGGGUGGAGCCUGCGGUUUAAUUGGACUCAACGCCGGGAAGCUCACCGGAUAAGACAGCGGAAUGAUUGCCGGGCUGAAGACUCUGCAUGACUAGCUG
rnacentral:rRNA from 1 species